GACUUGUACUUGUAUGGCUCCUUAGGAGGAGGGGGAGACUUGUAAACUGGAGGAGGUGGAGGCGGAGACUUAUACUUGUAUGGCUCCUUGGGAGGAGGAGGUGGAGACUUGUACUUGUAAACUGGAGGAGGUGGAGGCGGAGACUUGUACUUGUAUGGCUCCUUAGGAGGAGGAGGAGGUGAUUUGUACUUGUAGAUCGGUGGGGGUGGCGGUGGUGACUUGUACUUGUAUGGCUCCUUGGGAGGAGGAGGAGACUCGUACUUAUAUACAUGAGGGGGUGGAGGAGGAGACUUGUACUUGUAUGGCUCCUUAGG